GAUCAUGGCUCAGGACGAACGCUGGCGGCACGCUUAACACAUGCAAGUCGAACGGAGUUAUUCGGAGCUUGCUUUGAAUAACUUAGUGGCGGACGGGUGAGUAACACGUGAGCAACCUGCCUUUGAGAAAGUGGAAUAGCUUCUGGAAACGGAUGGUAAUACCGCAUAACAUUGCCGGACCGCAUGAUCUGGCAAUCAAAGAUUUAUCGCUCAAAGAUGGGCUCGCGUCUGAUUAGGUAGUUGGUGAGGUAACGGCUCACCAAGCCGACGAUCAGUAGCCGGACUGAGAGGUUGAACGGCCACAUUGGGACUGAGACACGGCCCAGACUCCUACGGGAGGCAGCAGUGGGGAAUAUUGCACAAUGGGCGCAAGCCUGAUGCCAGCGAUGCCGCGUGGAGGAAGAAGGUUUUCGGAUUGUAAAGCUCUGUCUUCAGGGACGAUAAUGACGGUACCUGAGGAGGAAGCCACGGCUAACUACGUGCCAGCCGCGGC
rnacentral:rRNA from 1 species